rfam:Triticum aestivum genome assembly, contig: Triticum_aestivum_CS42_TGACv1_scaffold_641357_T_6AL-0.144302_4AL-0.142829
AGAUUACUCCCUCCGUUUCAAAUUAGUUGAUUCGGAUUUGUCUAAAUGCGGAUAUAUCUAGAUAUGUUUUAGUGUUAGAUACAUCCGUACGUAGAUAAAUCCAAGUUAACUAAUUUGGAACGGUGGAAGUACUAC